rnacentral:rRNA from 1 species
AUGCGCGGCGCUUCAUCGUGCUGGCCGGACCGGGGCAAUCGCCAGAGCCGGAGCCGGAGGAGCCGACGAGGUGCUGCUGCUGGGGCUGCGUCCUUGGAGGCUGCUGCUGCCCCUCGCCGACCUCACCAACCUCCGGCGUCCGCCAUGAGCUCCGCGCAGGACCCCUUCUUCAUUGUCCGGGAGGAGAUCCAGGGCUCGGUUUUAGCGAUCAGCCGUCUUUCAUCAAAGGUGCAUGGUGCAACGGAGGACAAGCGCUUCAUGUCCAACCAAGGUGCAUGGUGCUCGCAAUUGAUGAACAGGAGGUCUACGAAAUUUGAAGUUCGAAGCCAGAUAGCCCUACUCAGCAAAGAGUCGUCUCUUUUGUUUGACUGUAAUAGACUGUAA